GCUUACGGCCACACCGCCUGGUUCACGCACGAUCUCGUUUGAUCUCGCAAGAUAAGAUAGGGUGGGCCUGGUUAGUACCUGGAUGGGAGACCGCCUGGGAAUACCAGGUGCUGUAAGCU
rnacentral:rRNA from 1 species